GAUGAACGCUAGCUACAGGCUUAACACAUGCAAGUCGAGGGGCAGCAUGAACUUAGCUUGCUAAGUUUGAUGGCGACCGGCGCACGGGUGAGUAACACGUAUCCAACCUGCCGAUGACUCGGGGAUAGCCUUUCGAAAGAAAGAUUAAUACCCGAUGGCAUAGUUCUUCCGCAUGGUAGAACUAUUAAAGAAUUUCGGUCAUCGAUGGGGAUGCGUUCCAUUAGGUUGUUGGCGUGGUAACGGCCCACCUAGCCUUCGAUGGAUAGGGGUUCGGAGAGGAAGGUCCCCGACAUGGGAACUGAGACAAGGUCCAAACUCCUACGGGAGGCAGCAGUGAGGAAUAUUGGUCAAGGGAAGAGAGUCUGAACCAGCCAAGUAGCGUGAAGGAUGACUGCCCUAUGGGUUGUAAACUUCUUUUAUACGGGAAUAAAGUGAGGCACGUGUGCCUUUUUGUAUGUACCGGAUGAAUAAGGAUCGGCUAACUCCGUG
rnacentral:rRNA from 1 species